rnacentral:misc_RNA from 1 species
AGUGCAACAAUUAAUAAAAGUGACCAACCAUCUAUAACCGGAUAAAGAAGUUGUUUGAGCGGGACCCCAUACAUCAAAAUGGAUAGUCAUAAAAGGAACAAAAGCUUUAUUUUUUUAUUGAAGGAUAAGAAUGUUUUGUGUUUUUAGCAAGUUUACAAGCAUCACAAACUAACAAUUCUGAUUUGCAUUGUCUAAACAAAAU